rnacentral:misc_RNA from 1 species
CUUAAUUAGAUACUAUUUUUAUUUCCGUUUUUCAUUAAAUUUAUAGAAACAAUAAUUACCUACAUGACGUAAAGUUAUUUUUAUCAUAAUUAUGAUCGAUUUAUUCAUUUAUUGUAUUACAAGCACAAUUUGAUAGUCUGUAGUUGUUAAUUUGUUAUUCAUAGGUCACUUCAGCACCAGUCAAUUGAGUAUAUUAUAUAUAAAAAACUGCCUUUAAUUUCUAUUAAAUAACAUGAAUAUAAUAACGAAUAUAACAUAAUAUAAUCUUGCAUUGAAUUAUAUACAAUAAAUAAAACUUAACGAAAAUAUUAAUAUAAAUACAACAUAAUAAGGAACGAAAUAUAAGCAACAGCGUGUGACGUCACGAAGGAACAUGUCGGAUCUUGUUCACAGUGUUCUUCGUUAAGACGCACAUCACUCACAUCAGUGUUUCAGUGUAUUAAUCUUUGAAGUGAUAAAGAAUUUUGUGUCAUAAAAAAGCGUUUCUUGAAAGUAUAAUUAUAUUUUUAUAUAACUUAAAAGUUAUUUGUCGAUUAGCAUAUUAAUGUAAAUAAUAUCAAGAUUAAAUAAGUUCAAUACAAAAACUGAACCAUAUUAAUAUUGUGUUAAACAAAAAAAAAGUGUACUAUAAACUUCUCUCUAGACGUUUGUAUCGGUGUGUAUUGUGUACAUAAUACGAACUUGUGGACUAAUUUAGCUAGAUAAAAAUUUGUGUUGUGUGUAAAGCUUCGUUUUUAUGUUUAAUUACGUAAAACAUUUAAGAUGGUUUUUUUUAUGCAUUAGUUUUAUUUUUAAAUGAUUCAUCCAAUAAAGAAAUUGAUAUAUUGAAUAUCGUGGUACCGGAUGUAAAUAGCCUGAAUCAUUGUUAAAAAGUACUAAGUAUUGUAAAUUAUUACAAACGAUAGUUAAAGAGAAGAAAGAUAAAAAUAAGAAGAAAGAUAAAUAAAAAGAAAGAUAAGUUCAAAUAAGUGGCACAGCAGGUAAACUAUUAUUUAAAUUAUAGAUUUUUAAGAAUUGCUAUUUCAUUGUCAUAAUAAUAAGAAAGUAAUUCACAAUUACAAUUAAUAUUAUCAGAAACAAUGGAAGAGGCAGAGGAAAAAUUAAUAAGAUUAAAAAGAACCCCUAUUCUUCUCUACCAAUAAUGAGUAUUCUGCUAAAGCAAAAGCGGCUGCUGUUGAAAAAAGUUUCAAAUUAAAAACAUUAGCAAAGGAUUGAUUCAAAAUAGAUAAUAUAUUUAGCCAAAUAGCUUUAGAGUUAACUGACGAAUCCACUGAAAUUGCAGAACCUAAGAAAUAGAAGCCAAAAAAAUGUAACCAAAAAAUUGUGAAGAAACAAGCCUAAAAACAUAAUCUAGAAUGGUCAUCUACAUCAAUAGCGUCUUCGAUAUCUUCAUCACCACUGUCAUCGUUAUGUAAACCUAUGAAAAUAAAUAAUGAAACUAAAAAAACGAAUUAAUGACAGUACUAACUACAUUGUUGGCUCAAAAGGAAAAAAAAUUAGUUCAUAAUCUACACCAUGCCACCUUGAUCAUCUUCAUCAUCAACUAAAAGUAGAAAAAUAAGAAAAAUCAAUUCGAGUUUGAAGGACAUAAAUAUGCUUAUGGAAAUAGCACAUGAAGACAGUAUUAUCAGCAACAAUUGCUGAUAAUCCCUUUUCAUCAUCAUCAUAAAUCUGAAACAGAAGCUGAAAUGAAUAUAUUAGCAGCUAGAUCAUCAUCAACAAAAAAUACUGUAUCCAGUGAUUCUUUGCUGGAAUGUAUCAAACAUAAUAACAGUCUAUCAAAACAAUUAGCGAAUUUAAAAGUCCAUAUCUGCUGACGUUCCCAAAUCCUAUCUGAAAUAAAAAAAUAACAGUACUCAGCUGUUAGAUUUCAGUUUAUUAACAGAUCCUGAAGGAAAUCCAGUGGUCCAAAAAUUAGAAUUUCCGCUAUCAACAAUGGAAGAUAUUAUUUUGAUAAAUUCAAUGAAAAAUUAAAAGGCCAAAAAUAUAAAAAUAAAAUGAAUAAACAUAUAUACUUUUCUCUUGAUGGAAAAAAUACUUUUACCCAUAAUAUGGGAAAUAUUACUCGUGUUUAUAUAACAAGAGAUGUCAUAAUUAUGUAGAAGUUAAAGCAACUUCAAAAAAAAGUUUUCAAAGAUACGACUUUUUCACUUCUAUAAAAACUGCAGUAAGACAGAAAUUCGAAAAGAAUCAAGAAAGUAUUUUCGAUAAUAAAUUCCCUCAAGCAUUGUCUGCAGUAUUGAAUAAUGCUAAUAUAUUAAUAAAGAUUGGGAUGGGUACAGGGUAUUCAGGAUCAAAAAACUACCAUCUAAUGAAGAUAAAUAAAAACAACUAAUCGCUUUUAAUUUAUUUACUUUUUUAAAAUCUUUUUUUUUUUUGCCAAGCAAACAAAAAGAAAAAUUAAUUCAUAAUAUUUAAUAACAAUCAUUAUUAUUAUUAACUUUAACAUAAAAAUAAUUGAUAUUUAAAGUAAAAACAAAAAUAAAUAAUACAUUUGAAAAAAAUAAAUGGAAA